rnacentral:rRNA from 1 species
CCUACGGGUGGCUGCAGUGGGGAAUAUUGGACAAUGGGGGCAACCCUGAUCCAGCCAUGCCGCGUGUGUGAAGAAGGCCCUCGGGUUGUAAAGCACUUUCAGUGAGGAAGAACGCCUGGUGGUUAAUACCCAUCAGGAAAGACAUCACUCACAGAAGAAGCACCGGCUAACUCCGUGCCAGCAGCCGCGGUAAUACGGAGGGUGCGAGCGUUAAUCGGAAUUACUGGGCGUAAAGCGCGCGUAGGUGGCUUGAUAAGCCGGUUAUGAAAGCCCCGGGCUCAACCUGGGAACGGCAUCCGGAACUGUCAAGCUAGAGUGCAGGAGAGGAAGGUAGAAUUCCCGGUGUAGCGGUGAAAUGCGUAGAGAUCGGGAGGAAUACCAGUGGCGAAGGCGGCCUUCUGGACUGACACUGACACUGAGGUGCGAAAGCGUGGGUAGCAAACAGGAUUAGAUACCCCGGUAGUC